UGAUAGGCUAGGCUACACAUGCGAGUCGAGCGGCAUGAAGGGAGCUUGCUCCUGGAUUCAGCGGCGGACGGGUGAGUAAUGCCUAGGAAUCUGCCCGGGAUUGGUCUCUAACGUCUGGAAACGGGCGCUAAUACCGCAUACGUCCUGAGGUAGAAAGUGGUGUUACUUCGCACCUCACCCUAUCAAAUGAGCCUAGGUCGGAUUAGCUAGUUGGUGGGGUAAAGGCCUACCCAGGCGACGAUCCGUAUCUGGUCUGUGACUAAGCCGAGUCCCACUGUAACUGAGACAGGGCCCAGACUAAUACUAAAGCUUGCAUUGGUUAAUAUUGCACAAUGCGCGAAAGCCUGAGCCGGGUCCAACUCCUACGUUAAGAAGGUCUUCGGAUUGUAAAGCACUUUACGUUGGGAGGAAGGACAGUAAGUUAAUACCUUGCUGUUUUGGCGUUACCAACAGAAUAAGCACCGGCUAACUUCGUGUCAGCGGCCGCGGCAAUACGAAGGCUGCAAGCGUUAAUCGGAAUCACUGGGCGUAAACAACGCGUAGGUGGUUCAGCACGUUGAAUGUGAAAUCCCCGGCCUCGACCUGGGAACUGCAUCCGAAACUACUGAGCUAGGAUAAGACUGUGGGAGAGGGAAUCUCCUGUGUAGCGGUGAAAUGCGUAUAUAUAGAGAGGAACACCAACGUCGAUGGCGACCACCUGGACCGAUACCGACACUGAGGUGCAAAAGCGUGAGCAGCAAACAGGAUUAGAUCCCCUAGUAGUCCACGCCGUAAACGAUGUCGACUAGCCGUUGGGAUCCUUGAGAUCUUAGUGGCACAGCUAACGCGAUAUGUCGCGCGCGUGGAGAGUGCGGGCACAAGGUUAACUCUCAGAUAUAUUGACGGGGGCCCGCACACGCGGUAGAGCAUGUGGUUUAAUUAGAAGCAACGCGAAGAACCUUACCUGCUCUUGACAUGGUGAGAACUUUCCAGAGAUGGAUUGGUGCUUUCGAGAUCUCAGACACAGGUGCCACAUGGCUGUCGUCAGCUCGUGUCGUGAGAUGUUGGGUUAAGUCCCGUAACGAGCGCAACCCUUGUCCUUAGUUACCAGCACCUCGGGUGGGCCCUUUAAGGAGACUCCCGGUGCCAACCCGGAGGAAGGUGGGGAUGACUUCAAUUCAUCAUGGCCCUUACGGCCAGGGUUACACACGUGCUACAAUGUUCGGUCCAAAGGGUUCACAAGCCGCGAGGUGGAGCUAAUCCCAUAAACCCGAUCGUAGUCCGGAUCGCAGUUAGCUAUUCUAUUUCGCUAAGUCAGUAACUCUAAUAUUGGUAAAUAUUGAUCCUGCCUCACUCAUUUAUUCCUACCUAGUUAUAUUUUCUCCCUCCCUCAGUCAUUUGGAGCUAGCUAGAUAUAGUCGUGCCUCAGUAAGUCGGACAAGAAGCAGAGUGCAAG
rnacentral:rRNA from 1 species